rnacentral:rRNA from 1 species
GGUGUGCCGCACAGCUCGAAAAAUGUUUCAACGCGAGCAAUCGUAGAUGGCGGGUCCCCAAGUUCCAGUCUUACCUGGGUCGCUUUUCGCAAGUGUAAACAGCUUGACGAAUAAGGGAGGGUCAAGACCGGUGCCAGCUACCCGCGGUAUAUACUGGCAGUCCAAGUGGUAGCCAUUAUUAUUGGGCCUAAAGCCUUUGUAGCUGAGUACGCUAUUCUCACAGGAAAUCUCACAGGUUAACAAGAGAUCAGUCGGAGACACUUAGAGCCUUGUACUUGUGAGAGGUUCAAGCUACUCCCUGUGUAGGGGUAAAAUCAUGUAAUCCUGGUAAGACCUCCUGGGGGGAAGGCCAAUCAGUGGAACGAACCUGACGGUGAGAAUAAUAAAGCUCGGCGCUCGAACCGGAUGAGAUACCCGGGUAGUCCGCGCCGUUAACGAUGUGGCCUUGGUGAUAGAAUGAUUUUGAACACCUCCACAGCCGAAGGGAAACGGUUACAUUCGCUGCCUCGGAAGUACGGUCGCAAGCCUGAAACUUAAAGGAAUCGGCGGGCGACCACAAGGGCGAUUCGC